UACGUAGGGCGCGAGCGUUGUCCGGAUUAUUGGGCGUAAAGAGCUCGUAGGCGGCUUGUCGCGUCGUCCGUGAAAACUUGGGGCUCAACCCCAAGCUUGCGGUCGAUACGGGCAUGACUGGAGUUCGGCAGGGGAGACUGGAAUUCCUGGUGUAGCGGUGAAAUGCGCAGAUAUCAGGAGGAACACCGGUGGCGAAGGCGGCACUCUGGGCCGGAACUGACGCUGAGGAGCGAAAGCGUGGGGAGCGAACAGG
rnacentral:rRNA from 1 species